UCCAGCAUCGAUUAUUUUUUCAUUCAAGCAUAGUUCGGAAGCAAGUAACAUUGCACUAGGUACAUCUCUAUGGCGCAUGCGCGCUGGACUGCAAGAGAGGCGCGCCGCCGCCGCCGCCGCCGGCGCGGUGCCAGCCAUCACCGCCAUAUUGAAUUUUCCGCCGAAAAGUUUGCCGCUAUUUUUUUAAAGUAUUUUUGUUAAGUCUUUACAAUACAAAACAAUCAUCUAUUAUAGAUUAUUAUGUUUGUGUUUGCUAUAUGCAAUUGUAAAAUCGAUAAGUGACAACAACAAUGAAAAUGAAAAAUCAACCACACCCAUAAACUAAACAUGAAACGCUGGAUACAAGAUAUUAAUUCCUCUCUGGGACAACAAUACUAAAACGACCAUCAGACCACCUAGUUACAUACCUACUAACUAGAAGGAUAACGGAAAUAAGAUACAGAAAUGAAAUCAAGCAAUUGUGUAUAUUGGUGUCAGA